UCCUGCUCCUGACCUGAGUUC
rnacentral:misc_RNA from 1 species